ensembl:lncRNA
AUUUUUUUGAAACAAAAUGGACGAAGAAGUUUUAAAAUCUUUAACCAGUAUAGAACUGAAAAAGGUUUAAUGCAAUGAAAACAUUAUUACAAAAUAAAAAGAAAAAGAAAAAAAAACACACACACACAUACAUACAUACAUACAUACAUACAUACAUACAAUAAAAAUAGAAAUAAAUAACGAAUUUUACUAAAGAAAUUUUACAAUGAAUUUUAUCAAAUGAAAGACAAUAAAAAUAUUUUUACAUUUGUAAAAUUAUACACACUGUUUUACAAUUGUAUACAAUAUUAUAUAUAGUUAUUUUAUUUUUUUCUUUUUUUUAAUACCUUUUAAUAUGUAGAACAUUUUAAAAAAAGCUAAAAAUAUUUUAUCAGAAAGAAAAAAUACAAUAAAUGAAAAUAAUAAGUGUGAUGUUAUUAGUAUCAUAAAAAAUGAAGAAGACUAUAUUUUAGAAACGGAAUAUGAAAAAAACAUAAUACCCGAUACUACUGAAAAACAAAAUAUAUGCUUAAAAAAUAAGGAAACAAAAUUUUUUACUUUACAAGAUUUUACAAGCAAAUAUUCAAAAACGUGUGAAAUGCACAACUUGAAUUAUGAUAAUGUCGAAUAUGAGUUGUUAAUAUCUUUUAUGAACACAUUCAACAAUGAACUAAAGUAUCAAAUAAAGUUAAAUAACAAUGAGAAGGAAGAUAAACAAAAUUCUAUUCUCCUAAAAAUGGUUAACAUUUUUAUGGAUAAAAUUAUACUUUGCUGCUCAAACCCAACUAUUUUUUUGGCACAGAAUAACAACAAUAGUAGUAGCUUGUUGGAUAAUGACAUGAUUGUACAAAUUAAUAAUUUUUUAAAACAAAUUGAAAAAAAUAUAAAUGAAGACGUUUUAUUUAAAACAUGUUUAAGCGUUAUACUAGAUAAAAUUUUUAACUUCAAACCAGACCCUGAUAAUAUGGCUAGCUGGAUUUCUCGUCAAGCUUUUGUGGAUCUUAUUAAAGUCAUGCUUGACGAAAACACAAAAAGAUAUGAACUAUGCAUCACAUAUACAGUGAAUUUGAUAAAAAAGAAUUGUUCAAACCUAACUUUUUUUCAAGUUGAUAAUGUCGUUGUCCUAAUCGAAAUAAUUCAAUAUGCAAUAAUUUUUUUAUCAGAAAAAAAAUACAAUGCGGUAUACAUUAAAUAUCAUUUAUGUUUUAUAGCUAUGCGUGAUUUUCGUUUAAGCUUUAUUUGUCUUUUUUUUUUUUACUCACUACUUUUUUUUUUUACUUUUUCAAAAUUUUAAUAGAAAUACUACUCGUUCACAAAUGAAAAAUGGUUUGAAGACUUCAAAGACCUCGUAUGGCUAAUACAAAAAAAAAAAAAAAAAAAAAAAACAUACACACAAACAAACAAACAAACACAAUGUACGUACAUACAUACGUAUAUAUAUAUAUAUAUAUAUAUAUAACUUAUGCAUAUGUAUGUGCAGCUACAUACCUUGAAGGACACAGAGUGGAAAAUUUAUUUAAAUCAGCUGAUGGCUGUAGAAACAUUUCUUUUUAAGAAAAAAAGCGAAAACACGAAGAAGGCUUUUAAUGAAAUUUAUAAACAACAGAUAGAACUUUCAGCUCUUAAAAAUAGUUCUUAUUCUAAAUGGUUUAAAAUUGAGUUGCCCCUAUCAAUGAGCUUAUUCAAGUAGGCUAUUCAUAUUCCCAACUUUCAAUUUAUUAGCGGAGUAAGAACUUAAUUUAUCCAGUUGAGCAAAAAUUAAAUUUUAUUUUAUAUUACCAGAAUUUACAAAAAUGAGAAAAAAUCCAGGUGCAUGGAAAUGCAAGUGUAUAUACAUUUAUAUAUAUAGCACUAUUAAAAUUAAAAUGAAAAAUUAAAUCUAUAAAAAAUCAGUACUACUUAUAGGCUGAUAUAUAUAUAUAUAUAUAUUUUUUUUUGUACUAUUAGUAAUAACCGUUUUCAUCUGUAAAAAUUAUGAUAUAUAUAUAUAUAUAUAUAUAUAUAUAUACA